UUUGGCAUGGCUUUGGGUCAGUUAGAAAGUAAUGGGAUGGGAUUGGAAUACCUUACUCUACCACUGCUCAGGACUUGUCCUGACCUCCUGCUGGUUUGGGAGUCUGUGUUCCAGAAGCAACCUCUGAUGUUGUCCAUCUCCCUGUUCCCAAAGAUAUCCUGCAAAGGAAAUUGCUUUUUUGUUUGUGUAUGUGUAAAUCUCCCUUGAAUUUUGAGGUAGCAGUGGGAUGAACAGUCCUGUCCAGGUGCUUGUUGAGAGAGGAAUUCUUUAAUUCUCCCGGUUCUCUCUGACUUCCCAUCUUGAAGAAGGAUGCUUGGCAGCACGCUUCCAGAUCCCAGCUGAGACCUCACACCCUUGUCACGUCAGAAAAAGUCCAUCUAGUGAAUCAUUGAUCUGGGCUGAAAUGCCUUGUCAGUGCAAGUGAAUGGCCCAUACCCACAGAGUCCCUGCUGAUUUCAGGAGUACAGAUGCGGAAUACUGAGUGUGAGAUGCUGCUGCUUGUUUCUGGAGCUUGAUCCUUUCCCAACCCUGAAUCGACUGUUACUGAACAGUUGAAGCUGAACAGGAAGGAAUUGCAGGUGUCAACUCACAGUUUACAAAUAUGACAUCUCCUCUGGCAUAGCUGGAAAUAUGAAAUAUUGAUUUAUGUGCAGUAAAAGGUCUUAUAAAAAUGAUCACAUACACAUGAGAGAUUAAUGCGCUGGAGAUCAAUAGAAAUUUCAUUCUUGACGCUAGACUGUCACCUAUGGUGAAAUGCUAAAAUACAGAAAUCAAUAUUAUCUA